UACGUAGGUGGCGAGCGUUAUCCGGAUUUAUUGGGCGUAAAGAGGGCGCAGGCGGCUCUUCAAGUCAGGUGUAAAAUCUCCCGGCUCAACCGGGAUGGACCACUUGAUACUGAUGAGCUAGAGUACAACAGGGGGAGGUAGAAUUCCCGGUGUAGUGGUGAAAUGCGUAGAUAUCGGGAGGAAUACCAGUGGCGAAGGCGGCCUCCUGGGUUGUUACUGACGCUUAAGCCCGAAGGCGUGGGGAGCAAACAGGAUUAGAUACCCCCGUA
rnacentral:rRNA from 1 species